GUAUAAGUUGUCGGCUAUCGGCCCUAACCUCCACAGAUUAUCGGUAUUGGCCCUAAAAAAUCGAUAUCGGUCGAUCCCUAGUACCUGUAUGUGUCUGCCCUCAUUGCUGUCAACAUUUUCAGAUGAACUUUAUUAUUUUUACCUAAUAGAUAUACUUUCCACAGUGUUGUAGCAAUAAUGGGCAUCAAAGGACUGCAAGGCUUUGUACAGAAUUCAUGCUCCAAUGUUUGCAGCAUGGUCAACCUUAGGACUAUGGCCACUAGGCACAAAUCUUCUUAUCCAGACUGUGUUCCCACCAUAGUUGUCGAUGCAAUGUGCUGUCUGCGUACCUGGUACACACCAGAGGCCUGGAUUCACGGAGGACAAUGGAAGGAAUACCUUACCAGUUUGCAGGACUUCAUUGAUGCAUUUAAGAAUGCUGGAAUUCGCUUAGUGUUUGUUUUUGAUGGUGUUGUUGAACAGAAGAAACGGGCAGAAUGGGUCAAGCGACGAAUGCGUGACAGCAGUGAAGUGUCCAAAAUUUUUAAUUUUCUUAAGUCCAGCAGACAGCAGCCUGGACGCAAUAAGUUCUUCAUCCCAUCCGGAAUAGCUACAUUUACGCGAUUUGCUGUAAAGGCUCUUGGCCAGGAGAUAAUUUGCUCACAAGUUGAAGGUGACUAUGAGACAGCGUCUUAUGCUCUCAAACACAACUGUCUUGGAAUUUUAGGGGAAGAUAGUGACUAUCUCAUCUUUGACACAGUGCCAUAUUUUUCCAUUAAUAAGCUUCGCCUGGACCAGCUUGUCACUCUGAUGUAUUCCAGGGAAAGCUUCUGUGGAGAACUGGGCCUUCGACUAGCAGACCUGCCACUUCUUGCCUGUCUUCUUGGCAAUGACAUAGUUCCAGAAAACAUGAUGGAACCGCUUCACAGAAAAUGUGUUGGUGCAUAUCAUUCAUAUAGUAAUGAACGCAACAGGAGGGCCAAUGUCAUCCGAGCUGUGGCUUCUUUUAUUUCUAAAAUACAACUGUUGCCACAUGGUUUUAAGGAGGUAGAGAAGAUGCUGCCUCCAAAUUUCGAUUUGACUUUAUUGGAGAAAGGGAUACAGUCUUAUAUUCUACCACAACAAAGUUCAUCUUGGUUAUCCCACAGCCCAAAGUCCUGCGCUGACAAGUCAAGAGCAAGCGUAUGUCAGGAUCAGGAGAUUGUACAGAUAGCAUUAGAGGAACACUACAAAGGUGACAAUGUCAUGAUCUGCAAUGUUCUGUGUCUUGGAGAAAGUGAUUGCAGUAACACCUUAGAAGAUGAAAAUGACCCCCACAUCCCUUCUCAAGCCCUGGUCUAUAAAAUUGCACGUCAGCAUAUUUAUGCCAUUCUGCUUGGCACUGGUAAUGAUUCCCCAGAUUCAUGUCCUGUGGUCCAUGAGUGGUAUGUAUAUAAUGGCAAUACGCUGGAGAAAGCAGAGCUUGUUCCAUCAGUACCACUAUCCAUACCAGGUGGAACACCAACUGCUAGAGAGCUCUGGCUUUCCAAAAAUCCAGACAUUCAGAAACAAAGAUUUUAUACAUGCAUGGCAUGCUUUCAUGCUGAAAGAUGGACAGAGGGACUUACGAGCCUGGACAGUCAGCUUGCUGCAACCUGUUGCCUGUUGAUAUAUCUGUCAGUUCAGGUGGAGAAUCUAUCUCUGACAGACGUAGAAGCUUUUCUAGCCCAAGCCUUGUGCCUUGCAGGGAAAUCUGGAUCACAGUUAAGUAGCUUGCAGAACUGCAUACGAGAAAGAAGCCAUGCCCCCUCAUCUCCCCCCGCCUGGAGGACGCAGCUUCCUUAUGUAGAUUCCAGAGCCGUUCAUCUCGCUUUUCUCUUCCUUCGCGGGCUGAACACAUUAAUGGCUUGUAACAGUGCAUGUGGCUACCCCUUUAACAUGAUGGAUUUGAUGCCAUGGAACACAUUUGAUGGGAAGCUCUUCCAUCAGAAGUAUUUGCUUUGUCAUGAACACAGACCUAUGGAUGAGAUCUUGGAGAAAAACGAGUCUUUAAUAACCGAGUUUAAGAAAUUAAGGCUGAUGAUCACUGAAGCUUGUGCAACACAGAACAGAAUCUUGCAACCUGCUUCCAAAAAAAACAGUGGACCUUUACCAGGGGCGUCAAGGGGUUCAUUUACCAGAAGGGACCAGUCUUAUUCUCAGUAUCGCCAAGGAAGUGAAAGAAAUGAGUGGCAUAAUGUUCAUCAUCAGCAAGAACCUGGCAGAGGAUGGCCUUUUAAUCCUUACCAUGACCAAAGGCACGAGACUACAUAUUGGCAAAAUCCGCAAUCACACCAUCAAGGACAGUACCCUUCACAUGAGGAUGGCAGCAGAGGAAACAUUCACCAUGCAGGUCAUGAAUAUGGCAGAUACAAUCCAGGACAAAGAACCCGACACAGAGGCCAGAGCAGAAGAGGACACUAUUUUUCUAACUCAUAAUUGCUAAAAUUGUUUAGUUACAAAACGAAAAGUAACAAGUCAGAUUCAUGGCAGCCUAUACUCAGCCUGCAGGACUUAAAGGAUCUGCUGUUAACAUCUUCCAAAUGAAUGCAUACCUAGAGAUGUUACUUGGAAAGGAUCCUUGAAUUGUCUGCUACUGUCCUCAUCUAACACCUGGCAGAUUCGCAGUUCCUCCUGUCCAGCACAGCAGCAGUAACCAUGGUCCAUCCUUUUCCAUUUAUUUACUAACAUGUGGAAGCUGACAAGAGGGAGAGACGAGGACUUCCAGAAGAGUUACAUGUGCUGCAGGAACAUGAGUCGCUGGACUAUCUGGGAGUGAAGGUCACAAGAAAAAUAAAGGAGUUUGCGCAAUUAAAUGUUAGGCCACAAAUAGAAAAGGUAAAGAGUAAAAUUCAAAUCUGGAAGAAAUUACCUAUAAAUAUGGCAGAAAGAAUUAUGCUGGUAAAGAUGAUUAUAUUCCCGAUGGUAUUAUACGUAAUAAGGGCAGCACUGAUAUGGUUGGGGACACAACACUUUAAAAGUAGAGGUAGAGGCAAACAAUUCAAUAUGGGGUAGGAAAGGGGUUCGCAUGAAACAAGAGUUCCUGGCCCCCUCAUUGGAAAAUGGGGGACUGGGAAUUCCAAAUAUGCAUUUGUAUUAUAUAGCGGCACAACUCGAAUUUAUGGUAACUGAGGAUAAAUCACUUAAAAUGUUUUUGAAUAAAUGGGGAAGUAGGGGUGGCACUACGUUGGAAUUAAUUGAAAGUGGUAGAUGUCUAUAUAAAGAGGUGAGCAGGAUACCUGUUUGCAAAAUCUCUAUAU